CCUACGGGUGGCAGCAGUGGGGAAUAUUGCACAAUGGGGGAAACCCUGAUGCAGCGACGCCGCGUGAGUGAAGAAGGAAUUCGGUAUGUAAAGCUCUAUCAGCAGGGAAGAAAAUGACGGUACCUGAGUAAGAAGCCCCGGCUAACUACGUGCCAGCAGCCGCGGUAAUACGUAGGGGGCAAGCGUUAUCCGGAUUUACUGGGUGUAAAGGGAGCGUAGACGGCAGUGCAAGUCUGGAGUUAAAGGCGGGGGCUCAACCCUCGGACUGCUCUGGAAACUGUACGGCUGGAGUGCAGGAGAGGUAAGUGGAAUUGCUGGUGUAGCGGGGAAAUGCGUAGAUAUUAGGAGGAACACCAGUGGCGAAGGCGGCUUACUGGACUGUAACUGACGUUGAGGCUCGAAAGCGUGGGGAGCAAACAGGAUUAGAUACCCGAGUAGUC
rnacentral:rRNA from 1 species